rnacentral:rRNA from 1 species
GACGAACGCUGGCGGCGUGCCUAACACAUGCAAGUUGAGCGACGAACCAGGGCUUGCCCUGGGGCAAAGCAGCGAACGGGUGAGUAACACGUGGGUAACCUACCCCGAUAACCGGGACAACCCGAGGAAACUCGGGCUAAUACCGGAUGUGCUCACUGAACUUCGGUUCAGUGCGUAAAGGAAGCUUCGGCCUCCGUAUCGGGAGGGGCCCGCGGCCCAUUAGCUAGUUGGUGAGGUAACGGCUCACCAAGGCCGCGAUGGGUAGCUGGUCUGGGAGGACGAUGAGCCACACUGGGACUGAGACACGGGCCAGACUCCUACGGGAGGCAGCAGUGGGGAAUCUUGCGCAAUGCGGGAAAGCGUGACGCAGCAACGCCGCGUGGGGGAAGAAGGCCUUCGGGUUGUAAACCCCUUUCAGGAGGGACGAAGGUUCGGCGGUGAAUGGCCGUCCGGACUGACGGUACCUCCACAAGAAGCCCCGGCUAACUACGUGCCAGCCGCCGCCGUAA